rnacentral:ncRNA from 5 species
UACUCUAAGCGGUGGAUCACUCGG